CUCAAAAUCUGGACCACACCUUUGUGGAGCUCACAGAAAAAGACAAGGAAGAUGGAGGCUUCUGCCUUCUGCCUGCUCACCCUCACUCUCACUGGCCAAUUCCUCCCUCCUGUUCCUUGAGAGGACCCUGAAGAAUACCGGGACGUUUUAGGCUAAUCACAGAUCUCUGGCACAGCCUCUUCCCUCACUGCCACCCGGACUCCAUUUGGCCGCCUGGUCCUCACUCUUCACUAAAUUGUAACUCUGGCACCUCAGGUCUCCUGGUUCCAGUGCUUUAAAUCUUCACAAGCUCCAGUCAUCUGCUAUUCCUACUUCCCUUCGGCUCCUUUUGAGAAAUGACUAUUUUUAAAGCAACAUAUCAUGGGCUGCAUGGAAAAAAAAAAAAAAAGACAAAAUGUGAAUGUAUUAG